rnacentral:lncRNA from 1 species
AAUAAAGAAGAAAAACUGUUGGACUACCCUAAUUAAACCCAGCCGCUUGGCUGUUGGGUUUAAGAGGCUGGUGAGUUGGGAAUAGUAAAAUACUAUACUAAUACACUAGUAAAUGAAAACAUUAUUAAAUGAAAAAUCUAGGAAGUUUAAACGUAGAAAAAGUAAUGGUUUCAAAAUUGUUCUAUCAAAAAAAAGGGAUAAAUAAAAGGGAACAAAAAAAAGAAAAUGAAAAAAAAACAAAAGUAAACACAGACUCAAAGAGUCAUCGUCCUCAGCUAGCUUUCUCGCCCUCUCUUCUCCCAAUCUCACUCACAAACCUCCCUCUCAAUCGCUCUCCCUAUCGCUCUCAAACCUAACCUCAA